CACGUAGGGUGCGAGCGUUGUCCGGAAUUAUUGGGCGUAAAGAGCUCGUAGGCGGCUUGUCGCGUCGGCUGUGAAAACCCGCGGCUCAACUGUGGGCGGGCAGCUGAUACGGGCAGGCUGGAGUUCGGUAGGGGAGACUGGAAUUCCUGGUGUAGCGGUGAAAUGCGCAGAUAUCAGGAGGAACACCGGUGGCGAAGGCGGGUCCCUGGGCCGAUACUGACGCUGAGGAGCGAAAGCGUGGGGAGCGAACAGG
rnacentral:rRNA from 1 species